AUUGAACGCUGGCGGCAUGCUUUACACAUGCAAGUCGAACGGUAACAGGUCUUCGGAUGCUGACGAGUGGCGAACGGGUGAGUAAUGCAUCGGAACGUGCCCAGUAAUGGGGGAUAGCCCGGCGAAAGCCGGAUUAAUACCGCAUACGACCUACGGGUGAAAGCGGGGGACCUUAGGGCCUCGCGCGAUUGGAGCGGCCGAUGUCAGAUUAGGUAGUUGGUGGGGUAAAGGCCCACCAAGCCAACGAUCUGUAGCUGGUCUGAGAGGACGACCAGCCACACUGGGACUGAGACACGGCCCAGACUCCUACGGGAGGCAGCAGUGGGGAAUUUUGGACAAUGGGCGCAAGCCUGAUCCAGCAAUGCCGCGUGCAGGAAGAAGGCCUUCGGGUUGUAAACUGCUUUUGUACGGAACGAAAAAGUCCGGGUUAAUACCCUGGGCCCAUGACGGUACCGUAAGAAUAAGCACCGGCUAACUACGUG
rnacentral:rRNA from 1 species